rnacentral:rRNA from 1 species
UACGGAGGAUGCAAGCGUUAUCCGGAAUGAUUGGGCGUAAAGCGUCCGCAGGUGGCUGUGUAAGUCUGCUGUCAAAGAGCGAAGCUCAACUUCGUAAAGGCAGUGGAAACUACACGGCUAGAGUACGUUCGGGGCAGAGGGAAUUCCUGGUGUAGCGGUGAAAUGCGUAGAGAUCAGGAAGAACACCGGUGGCGAAGGCGCUCUGCUAGGCCGUAACUGACACUGAGGGACGAAAGCGUGGGUAGCGAACAGG